UGUAAUUGGAAUGAUGGUGACCCAAACCCUCACCAGAGUAGCAAUUGGAGGGCAAGUCUGGUGCCAGCAGCCGCGGUAAUUCCAGCUCCAAUAGCGUAUAUUAAACUUGUUGCAGUUAAAAAGCUCGUAGUUGUAUUUUUGCGUUAGCGGUUUGACCAUUUGGUUGGUUAUUUCGUUUUCGCUUUUGGGAAUUUCCCUUUUUACUUUGAGAAAAUUAGAGUGUUUCAAGCAGACUUUUGUCUUGAAUACUUCAGCAUGGAAUAAUAGAGUAGGACUUUGGUUCUAUUUUGUUGGUUAUUGAACCUUAGUAAUGGUUAAUAGGAACGGUUGGGGGCAUUCGUAUUUAACUGUCAGAGGUGAAAUUCUUAGAUUUGUUAAAGACGAACUACUGCGAAAGCAUUUGCCAAGGACGUUUCCAUUAAUCAAGAACGAAAGUUAGGGGAUCGAAGACGAUCAGAUACCGUCGUAGUCCUAACCAUAAACUAUGCCGACUAGUGAUUGGAG
rnacentral:rRNA from 1 species